AGGGUUUGAUCAUGGCUCAGAACGUACGCUGGCGGCACGCCUAAUACAUGCAAGUCGAACGAAGUAGCAAUACUUAGUGGCAGACGGGUGAGUAACAUGUGGGUAUCUUCCCUUUGGUGAGGAAUAACACGAGGAAACUUGUGCUAAUACCUCAUAAGUCUUUACGGAGAAAGCUUUAUGCGCCAAUGGAUGAGCCCGCACUUGAUUAGUUUGUUGGUAGGGUAAUGGCCUACCAAGACUGUGAUCAAUAGCUGAUUUGAGAGGAUGAUCAGCCACAUUGGGACUGAGACACGGCCCAAACUCCUACGGGAGGCAGCAGUAGGGAAUCUUGCACAAUGGAGGAAACUCUGAUGCAGCGAUGCCGCGUGAGUGAAGAAGGCCUUUGGGUUGUAAAGCUCUUUCGUCGGGGAAGAAAAUGACUGUACCCGAAUAAGAAGGUCCGGCUAACUUCGUGCCAGCCGCCGCGGUAAU
rnacentral:rRNA from 1 species